GCUGGCGGCGUGCCUAACACAUGCAAGUCGAGCGAUGAAGUUCUUCGGAACGGAUUAGCGGCGGACGGGUGAGUAACGCGUGAGCAAUCUGCCUUACACAAAGGGAUAGCCUCGGGAAACUGGGAUUAAUACCAUAUAACACUUUUAGAUCGCAUGAUUUAGAAGUCAAAGAUUUAUCGGUGUAAGAUGAGCUCGCGUCUGAUUAGCUAGUUGGUGGGGUAAAGGCCUACCAAGGCAACGAUCAGUAGCCGGCCUGAGAGGGUGAACGGCCACACUGGAACUGAGACACGGUCCAGACUCCUACGGGAGGCAGCAGUGGGGAAUAUUGCACAAUGGGCGCAAGCCUGAUGCAGCGACGCCGCGUGAGCGAAGAAGGUUUUCGGAUCGUAAAGCUCUGUCCUUUGGGAAGAAAAAAUGACGGUACCAAAGGAGGAAGCCCCGGCUAACUACGUGCCAGCAGCCGCGGUAAUACGUAGGGGGCGAGCGUUGUCCGGAUUUACUGGGCGUAAAGGGUGAGUAGGCGGUAACGUGUGUCAGAUGUUUAAUCUAUGGGCUCAACCCAUAUCAGCAUUUGAAACUGCGUAACUUGAGUGCAGGAGAGGUAAGUGGAAUUCCUAGUGUAGCGGUGAAAUGCGUAGAUAUUAGGAGGAACACCAGUGGCGAAGGCGGCUUACUGGACUGUAACUGACGCUGAGUCACGAAAGCGUGGGGAGCGAACAGGAUUAGAUACCCUGGUAGUCCACGCUGUAAACGAUGAGUGCUAGGUGUUGAUAGAGAUAUCAGUGCCGCAGCUAACGCAAUAAGCACU
rnacentral:rRNA from 1 species